AUUUUUAGAGCAGUUAAGACAAAAUGAUCGCUUUUUUAGAAAAAUGAUAAGGAAUAGAAAAACUGCUCUGAAAUUUGUCAAAAGAGUGUUGUGUUAUGCUUCAUUUUAAGCAACUACUACUCAGGUAUCACCACAGCUUAUCUCUA